CGCUUGCCAGGCAGCUGGGGCUGUUCCCCCCGUCGGUCUUACCACGUACGAAGUGAAGGCGGCGGCUGCUGCGGCAGCUGGGUCCGUGCCGUACUGGAGUAAAUAAUUGAGCGGAUAAAUAAUGGGGAUAAGAAUCAAGGUGUGCAAUUGACUGCAUGGAGACCCCUGCCCUAUCGAAGCUUCUUUCCCUACUACUUUAGGAAACCCGGAUUAAGUCUGAUAAACGGAAACGAUAAGACUGUUGUUUGCGGGGAGAGACUACAACAACAAUGUUAAGCAAGUGUGGAGUGAACCCAGUCGGAUCCGGAGGAGGACACUGCCAGCAGCAGAUUCUACAAUCAGUGGUGGGCCUUAUAAUUUUGAAAGAAGAAACAGAGAAACUUAUUCUGAAGAUUUAAGAUUCAAUCAUCUUUGAGUGAACUUUCUACAGGUCUCCUUUCUCUGUGGAUCUAACUGAAAGGAUAUUGAAAAAUCAAGCAUUUAAGUAGUUUAAAUAGCUUUGAAUUCACCUGUUUGAAGACUAGCCUCUAAAUUGUUAUAUAGAAGAUGAUUACUCUGUAUUACUCUGGUACUCUGUACCAUGUUUAUUAAGGGGAAAAAUACUUUAAAAGCUUUUUAUAUGAGCCUCAAAAAUAAAGUCAGUUGUAUUUUUUAAA